rnacentral:rRNA from 1 species
GAUGAACGCUGGCGGCAUGCCUAAUACAUGCAAGUCGAGCGAACAGACGGGGACCUUGCUCCUCUGACUUUGUCAGGGGACGGAUGAUUAACACGUGGAUGACCUACCUAUAAGACUGGGAUGACUUCAGGAGACCGUGUCUAAGACCCGAUAAUAUAUUGAACCUGAUUGUUCAAUAGUUGAAUACGGUUUUUCUUUCACUUAUAGAUUGAUCCGCGCCGCAUUAGUUAGUUGGUAAGGUGACGGCUUACCAAGGCAAGGAGGCGUAGCCGACCCGAGAGGGUGAUUGGCUAGACUGGAACUGAGAAACGGCACCGACUCCUACGGGGGGCAGCAGUAGGGACUCUUACGGAAUGGGGGAAAGGCUGACGGAGCAAAGCGGCGUGAGUGAUGAAGGUCCUCUGAUCGUAAAACUCUGUUAUUAGGGAAGAACAAAUGUGUAAGUAACUAUGCACGUCUUGACGGUACCUAAUCAGAAAGCCACGGCUAACUCCGUG